rnacentral:rRNA from 1 species
CCGUAACUAUAACGGUCCUAAGGUAGCGAAAUUCCUUGUCGGGUAAGUUCCGACCUGCACGAAUGGCGUAACGAUCUCCACACUGUCUCGGCCAGAGACUCGGUGAAAUUGCAGUCGCGGUGAAAAUUCCGUGUACCCGCAGAAAGACGGAAAGACCCUGUGCACCUUUACUAUAGCUUGACAUUGGAUUUUGGGCCUGCAUGUGUAGGAUAGGUGGGAGGCUGUGAACCCUGUACGCCAGUAUGGGGGGAGCCAUCCUUGAAAUACCACCCUUGCAUGUUUAAGAUCCUAACUUCUUCCGGUUAUCCCGGAGAAAGACAGUGUCUGGCGGGUAGUUUGACUGGGGCGGUCGCCUCCUAAAGUGUAACGGAGGCAUGCAAAGGUUCCCUCAGCCUGAUCGGAAACCAGGCGCUGAGUGCAAACGCAUAAGGGAGCUUGACUGUAAGAGAGACAUCUCGAACAGGAACGAAAGUUGGCGUUAGUGAUCCGGUGGUCCCGAAUGGAAGGGCCAUCGCUCAUUGGAUAAAAGGUACGCCGGGGAUAACAGGCUGAUCGCAUCCAAGAGUUCACAUCGACGAUGCGGUUUGGCACCUCGAUGUCGGCUCAUCACAUCCUGGGGCUGAAGCAGGUCCCAAGGGUACGGCUGUUCGCCGUUUAAAGUGGUACGCGAGCUGGGUUUAAAACGUCGUGAGACAGUUUGGUCCCUAUCUUCUGUGGGCGAAGGAGAAUUGAGAGGGCCUGUCCCUAGUACGAGAGGACCGGGAUGGACGCACCCCUGGUGAUCCUGUUGUCGCGCCAGCGGCAUAGCAGGGUAGCUAUGUGCGGAAGGGAUAACCGCUGAAAGCAUCUAAGCGGGAAGCCUGCCUCAAGAUAAGUUCUCCCCUCGAAAGAGCUGAAGGGCCCGGGUAGACUACCCGGUCGAUAGGCUGGAGGUGUAAGCGCGGCGACGUGCUCAGCUGACCAGUACUAAUAGCCCGAGUGGCUUAUUUUU